rnacentral:rRNA from 1 species
AUUCCAGCUCCAAUAGCGUAUAUUAAUGUUGUUGCAGUUAAAAAGCUCGUAGUUGGAUUUCUGGUCGGAUCGCCUGGCCGGCUCCGCAAGGGGUCGUGCAUGGGUGCCUUCGUCCAUCCUCAGGGGGCCAGGCGCUGGUAUUCAUUUAUCGGUGUUUGAACGCCUGUCGUUUACUGUGAACAAAUUAGAGUGUUCAAAGCAAGGUGUACUUGAAUACAUUAGCAUGGAAUAAUAAGAUAGGACUUUGGUGGUUCUUUUUGAUAUUUUGUUGGUUUGCACGCCAAAGUAAUGAUUAAUAGGAGCAGUUGGGGGUAUUCGUAUUCAAUUGUCAGAGGUGAAAUUCUUGGAUUUAUAGAAGACGAACUACUGCGAAAGCAUUUACCAAGGAUGUUUUCAUUG